rnacentral:lncRNA from 1 species
ACCACAUGUACCAAGUAUCAGUACGAAAUUGGUGGUAGAAGAAGGUGGCGAACACACAGUAGGAUGUCAAUGCAGUAGCCCUCGAGUCAACCAAACUCGGACCAGGCCCGAAGGUAUUUGGACGAAGCCUCACCCUAUUCGAUUUUUUUAAGGUCGGACUAGGCUAAGACAAUGUUUUUUCUUUUUUUAAAAAAUAAGAAGAGUGUUUUGGGAAUUGAGAGGAGGCCUCGAUUUUUUUUUUGUUGCUAAAAACGGAUAUUUCAUAUACUACGAGAACAAAUACACCCAGUAAAAUCAACAAACAAUAAGUCACACAGUGCCCCAGGCAAUUUCUCUUCUUCUGCUCA